AUAAAGGCACUACAAGAACUGCAGGAGAGGGAAGGUCUGCGUGCAGCCAACAAGCUUACAAAGGCCCACAUCGCCUACUACCAGCAGAUCAUGAAGGUGAAGCUGGCGGCCCAGACAUUCAGCAGCUCCGUGAGCAAGGCACUGGAGUUUGCUUCCUUGCUGAAGCUGCCAGGUUUCCAUGGUUGCAAGGGUACAGCCAAGUUUGUGGCCAUGGUAGACCGUGCAUUUGACCUGCUGAACUCCAGCAAUCCUGUUGCUGCUGGUUUCAAGGCUCCCCUGCGGCCAUCAACAUUCACUCACCAAA
rnacentral:lncRNA from 1 species